UUCGUGUACAAAUGUAUAGCGGGGAGACAUGAACAUUUUUCGAAAUUGCGGACCUAUCCUCUUGGGAUUCUACGUUCGACAAAUUCUGAAAACGACCACAGAAAUAUAAUUGGAGGUUCAAAGCCGUGCCAGGUGAGCUUUCAUAUAUGAAACAGACCAGUCAUGGGGACACGAGAUAUAGAAAGUUUCAGCGUAGUCGUCGCCACAUUGCUGCCAACACUGCAUAUAUAAGGAAUCACGAACCAUUCAGGAAUAUUGAGACUUAGACCAGUAUCUUUUUAAGUCGGCACGUGGGUUUAAGAAGACGCAGAAGCUUCAGUCGGGUACCAUCGGUAACGUAGGCG